AUGCAAGUCUGAACCAGCCAUGCCGCGUGCAGGAAGAAGGCCUUCUGGGUUGUAAACUGCUUUUGCCGGGGGAUAAAAUUCCCAUGCGUGGGACAUUGAAGGUACCCGGUGAAUAAGCCACGGCUAACUACGUGCCAGCAGCCGCGGUAAUACGUAGGUGGCAAGCGUUGUCCGGAUUUAUUGGGUUUAAAGGGUGCGUAGGCGGUCUUGUAAGUCAGUUCUGAAAUAUCCCGGCUUAACCGGGAGGGUGGGAUUGAUACUGCAGGACUUGAGUGGAGUCGAGGUAGGCGGAAUUGACGGUGUAGCGGUGAAAUGCGUAGAUAUCUGAAGGAACAUCAGUGGCGAAAGCGACUUCCUGGACCAAUACUGACGCUCAUGUGCGAAAGCGUGGGGAGCAAACAGGAUUAGAUACCCUGGUAGUCCACGCCAUAAACGAUGAGAACUGGAUGUCGGGAGGGUCUGCCUCUCGGUGUCGUAGCUAACGCGUUAAGUUCUCCGCC
rnacentral:rRNA from 1 species